UUUUGCGAAUACAGACUAACAUAGCUGCUACUCUGAAACCUGUCAUUUAAAGCAUGGAAAUUCACUUUAUACCACUGUUUGAAGUGAGAAUCAAAAAAGAAAGAGAGAAAAGUAAAGAUAAGAAUGGGGUUUGAAGGGAUGAUAAUAAAUAUGUUUGGGAGGAGUAUCAUAUUUAAAUGUAAACUCUUUCGGGGAGUGUGAUGGGGUAUCCACCCCACACAAGGCAGAGCAGGUUAAAUUAGGUCAAUUAACCUGGUAGGCUGCACCUUAGAGAAGAUUUAGGCUUGCAGAGGGAACACAGCUGGGAAGGAUGGAGGAAGUUGAGAACAGAUGAGUUCUGCAGGGGAGUAGUCUGCAGUCACUCCUUGGGACAAGGAAGGUGUGUUUGGGGCUACAGAGUUUGGCAAGAAACCUGGAGUUGCAGACUGUCUGGAGUGGUCUGAGGACAGCUGAUCUAGUGGGAUUUUGAUACUUUGGAAGGGGAAGGUGGUAUAGUGACUUGCCUGGAGGGCUGAGUCAUGAAAAGGGAGCACUUGAGUCCAGGGGGCAGGGCACAGUGGGAGGAAAAGGGCAUCAGACCUGAGUGGAGCUAAUCCUCAGACCCAACCACAAGCAGGCACUCAGCAGUAAGUGAACCCCAUUACAGGCAGGAACCAUGUCUUUGUUAUAUGUUUGGUCAGUGCCUAUUAUAAUGGGGCUGGACCUGUAGGUGCUACUGAAAUAUAAACAUUUAACAACAACAACAACUAUAAUCAUCAUAUGAGACUCUACCAAAUGAAGUUUAGUCCUGUCUCAUGAGGUCUUUGAUAAUGUGGCUUUCUCUUCACAUGUUUGUUCACUUUUGUCUUGAUGUGCACAACUCCAUAGUGUCAUACGUCACAGCAUUUGCUUUGUAUAAAAGAUGACAUUGGAAAGAUCCUAAAACUCCCCCAUUCUCAGCGUGGAAGGUGGCAUUUGUAUGUAGUGUAUUGUAAGCUCUUUGGGCCAGCGACACACUCUUUUUGUUCUGAGUUUGUGCUAGAUACUAUACAGUCCUGGUCCUGGACUAGGCUCCAAGAUGCUAUGAUAAUACAAAUACUGUACACUCCAUGAAACACCCUACCAAGGAGAAACAACUUAAUCCUAUUCGCUGAAUCCUGGGAUCUUCUGCAAGACAUCUUUAGCAGCGGCCCAUGGAACAUCCCUUCAUAUUCACUUAAGGGAGCAUGCCACCUGUUAACUGAAUAGCAUCACUUCCUGCAGCUCACAGGAUUUCUUGAAGUGCUCAGUUGAACUUGCCCAUGCUUCUGUGGAUUAUUCUUCAGCUUCUGGAGCUGCUAGUUACUUGGUGGCAAUAGUCUGCAAUGCUAAGUUUUUUUACCCAUCAAAAAGACAUUUUGAUCUUUUCACUGCUGAGAUUAAAGCAUCUCCCUGAAGCAUUUUUUUUUCUCCCCUGUUGUGGAAUUUUCUCUGUGAACAAAGCUAUCAUUAAUGUGAGAGUGCUCUGGUCACUGGACUGUGGGAUAUUCUGAUAUGGCACUUCAUCAGUCUCCUAUUCCAUUGUGGAUAAAUAAUGAAAGAGUGAAUGAAGCAGGAGGACUGGACCAGGGUCUUCCACCCCCCAGAUGCAGAAAUGGAGAUGCUGAGAUUGUCCAACCAAAGUCAGAUGGAGUCAGUAGCAGAGCUGUGAAUGUAACCUGAGGCUCCAUGCUAGGGAGAAUUGACCAGCUUUCCAUCUGUUAUAAAGUGUAGUGGGUGAAUAUUUUAAAAAUAAAUAUCCAAUGUAGAAUAGCUUCAUCCUCUUUAAAAAAAAAAUUAUGCUCUUGCCCAUAGCGUAAUCGUUUUACAUUAAAAAAAGGAGUACUUGUGGCACCUUAGACACUAACCAGUUUAUUUGAGCAUAAGCUACAGCUCAAUGCAUCCGAUGAAGUGAGCUGUAGCUCACGAAAGCUUAUGCUCAAAUAAAUUGGUUAGUCUCUAAGGUGCCACAAAUACUCCUGUUCUUUUUGCGGAUACAGACUAACACGGCUGCUACUCUGAAACUAGUUUUACAUUGUAUUUGUUGCAUACUGUGGAUGUUUAUUCUGAGGUAUAGUUCUGAUGUGUCAUUAUUUAUGAAUCCAUAGACAUGCAGCCUUUCAGGCAUUCUUUCACAAAAAGUGGAAUGGCCUUUAAAGCUUGUAACGUCACAGGAGACUUCUGCAGGAUUCCACAGAAAAUUGUAGAAGAAUGUGUUGGCCCAGUUGGCCCUGUAAUUGCGUACAGUAUGAUCUUGCAAGCAAACAUGUAAAAACCCAUCACCAGGAGUGUGAGCUCUCUAAACAAUUGCCUGCAUCAUCCAAGAUUUCUGCAGCAGGAAUUGUCAUAUCAUUUGGCCCUCCUUAUCUACAAAUGAGCAAUUAAAUCUGGGCUUCCCUACUGUACUAUGAGUUGUGGUUUUGCUCAGAGCAGAGAAAAGGAGGGACAGUACAAUAGAGAAUACUUCUAUCUUGUGUAGUGAUAAGUUUUAGUUUUUGUUGAGUCUUGAGUAUAGGGAAAGGAGCAGGGAAUGUAGACUUUUGAUCCUGCAGUGGAUUGUUAUGGGGGAAGGAGGUUACUUUGAUGGAGGGUUGCGUGGCAAGGUUUACGUGCAUACAACCUCCCAUGCCUCUAGAAACUGAGGCUCAUGGGGGUUAGGUGGGGAAUCACUGGGAUGGGUGCAGGCCUGAAAAGAUUGGAGGGUAUCAGAACUAUGGGAAUGAGACUCAUUGAGGUGGGAGUUAUGAGGGGAGUGAGGUGGGAGGAGGGGUAAUGCAGAUGGCUUUUGCAACAUGCCCUGGGAUUCUUUACUCAUGAACCCAUCUGCAGUAUCUACUCCCUUAAAAUUCAAGAGGAUUAAACUGUAUUGCCUUGAGCUGGGGACAUACAGGUUUUAAGGUGAAUGGAAAAAGAUUUGAUACCAGUUGUAGUGGGUAUCUGAAAUCACUUUUAGGCAUGGCAGCGGACAAGCUCAGGGGAAAGUGACAUAAAUGUGGUCUCAGUGUGUACGAAAAAGCAUUUUUUACAAAAAUGGGAGCAGAACUCUGAACUUAUUAAACAAAAACAAAUACUUCAUACAUCUUCAUGAAAAUGUUUUUGAAGCUUUGGUUAAACAAACUCCAUAUCUUGAACCUCUUAUUUGUGAUCAGUGACCACUUGCAGAAAUCAGCUGUUCAGGAUUCUUAAAUUAUUGCUCCUAACACUUCCCCACCUAAUCAAAACAGACCCUCUUAAUCUAGCUUCUGCUUCAGUUGAGACCUAGGAACAGGUUUUCCCUAGGUAAAUGAUCUCUGGAUUGCUUGUCUCUCAGGAGAAGGCAUUUGACAGGGUAAAUUGUGGGUAUCUCAUGGGCACUCUGCAAGUGUUUGGCUUUGGUUCCAUCUUCAUUGGGUUCCUCCAUUGGGUUUGCUUCUAUUGAGUGUCUAGCUCAACUGGGUCCUGACCAUGCCUGGCACCCUCCAUCAAGGGGUGCAUCAGGGCUGUUUGCUGUCUGGCUUGCUACAUGCCAUCGAGGCCUUCCUGUAACCAUGGACUUCUGAUCAUCAUCUGGCUGGCUCCUGUCAACAGUCCCUGUGACAUUUGCUUUCCCAUUCCUUAAUGUUGGUGGAGUCCCAGUGCAGCACCACCAUACUAUGUGUUCCUCCUCAUCCCCCUUUUUUCUUAAAGAUAAAGAAGAGAAGGAAAAAACAGUUAAAGCAUUUGAAAUGGAAAGUAUUAAAUAAGACUUUCAUUUUUAGCUACUUUUCUUUCCCUUUAGCUAGAGAGAGUCUUAGAAAGCACAGCCUCCAUGUUUGACAGUCUCUUAGAUGGUAUCAAUUCUAGUAAUAAGUGUCCUUUUUCCCCAAAAGAGAGGAAGUUAGCUGAAAUGGGCUGGAGCUGUCUUUUUUUAAAAUCUGAUCCCAUUUCCACCUAGGUGGUGGUGGAAUUCAACUGGAGCCAGUAGGCAAUUUUAUUUGAGUCCCUCCCUCUGGCCUGGUCAAGACAUCUCUCAGGAUUAGAAUGCUAAAGGCCGAGGAUCUUCGGAGAUGGUGGGGGUUGAGUUACGAUGGUGAAUCUUGCUCCAGUAGCCUUUCUCCCGCAAUGUCUCUCUCUGGUGGCCAGAAAGAGGGGAUGGACAAUUAUCUGGUCCACCAGUUAGGCCUACUGUCCAACAAGCCUGUUUGGGUUCACUGAUGUCUAGUUUCAUGUGUUUUCUGGUUUACCAAGCAUGAUCUUACUACAGUCCUUGAGUUAUAGCAGUAGGCCUUUGUCUGUCUUCCUUUCAUAUUUUUUCACAUCAAUAUUUGUUAUGACAUCUUAUUAACGUCAAAGUCCUUUUUAUAGUUGAUCUCGUAAUUAGAAUAAAUGUGCAGAUUCCAUUAUUACACACUGAGCACAACAGCCCCUCAUGGAGUAGGACAGGGGACAAUAAAUUUCCCCUCCUGGGGGUUGUACCCCAACGAAGGAAGGAUGUCUGCACUGUGGGAGGUGGAAGAAGAGCAGCUGGGAGUGGGAUUGGUGUCCCUGGUGGCUAUACUGUUGGGGGCAGCUCCACCUCUCCACACACAGGUGUUAAAGGGGCUGGGGGCUCCUCUAGAACCUGGGUACUGGGUGCCAUGAUGAACUCGGUGCCCAAGGCUUUGGCAUUGGAUGUUAUAGUGAGGAUCUCUGGUAGAGCACCACAAAGGACCCCGUGACUGAAUGCACCCCUUUAUUACAGUGGAGCGUAGGAGGUGAAUAAUCUUUGUACAGAAUAUUCCCUGUAAGGUAUCAUUUGAAAACUAAUAACUCACUAGUCAAUCAUCAUGAUGAAACGUGUGUAGCAACAUUGUAUGUAAAGUUAUGCAUUUCCCUGAAUGAUGUGAGUGGCAAAUGUUCAAACACAUGCAUCUCUGAUUAGGCAGAACUGGUCAAGCAGGUCUUAAACAAAGGAAUUUUGUUUACCUCAGCGUACAUAUAGGUGGUAAACAAGGUCCUUGAAACAGAGGGAGACAAAGUAAAUCUGCAUUUCAGCAAACAGCCUGAAGCCUCUUUCAACAGCAGGAAUGAACUUUAGGAGUAACCCUCAAGAAAAUGCAUUUCAAAGGGAACUAAACUAUAAAAGUGAGGGGCAGAAACACCCCAGAUUCUCUUUCCUUAUCCAUCUGUCUCUUCACUUAAGAUGACAAAAGAAACAGCCAGUGAACUUUGGGAGCAGAUACUUUGGUCCAAGAAUUUGGUCAGGAAUGUUACUGAAAACCUGUGGUGAGAACUUCACUUUAAACAAAGUCAAGUUUAAGUUUAGAAAGAGUUUUGUCUCUAUUUUUCAAGUAACCAUUUCUGACUUUAAUGCUUUGUUACUUGUACUCACUCAAUAGAACUACAAAGAGAUGGAUUUAAACUUGUUUUAUUCCUUAAUUAAAACUAAUCCAGGGUUGUGAAUUGUU